UGAGGAAUAUUGCCCAAUGGACGCAAGUCUGAGGCAGCGACGCCGCGUGGGUGAAGAAGGCCUUCGGGUCGUAAAGCCCUUUUCUGUGUGACGAGAACGGACGGUAGCACAGGAAAAAGUCUCGGCUAACUACGCGCCAGCAGCCGCGGUAAAACGUAGGAGGCAAGCGUUAUCCGGAGUUACUGGGCGUAAAGCGUGCGUAGGCGGGUCGGUAAGUGGGUCGUGAAAGCGCCGGGCUAAACCGGGCGAGGACGAACUAGACUGCCGGUCGAGAGGCAGAUAGAGGGGUGCGGAAUUCCGGGUGUAGCGGUGAAAUGUGUAGAGAUCCGGAGGAACACCAGUGGUGCAAACGGCGCCCUGGGUCCGAACUGACGCUGAGGCACGAAAGCGUGGGGAGCGAACG
rnacentral:rRNA from 1 species